rnacentral:tRNA from 1 species
CGGAGCGUAGCACAGUUGGUAAGGAACUAGGCUUGUAACCUAAAGGUCGCAGGUUCGAUUCCCGGGUAGGA